AACGAACGCUGGCGGCGCGCCUAAUACAUGCAAGUCGAGCGAGAAGACGUAGCAAUACGUUUGUAAAGCGGCGAACGGGUGAGGAAUACAUGGGUAACCUACCCUCGAGUGGGGAAGUAACUAGCCGAAAGGUUAGCUAAUACCGCGUACGCUCCUUGGACUUCGGUUCAGGGAGGAAAGCGAUACCGCGGGUAUCGCGCUCUUGGAUGGGCUCAUGUCCUAUCAGCUUGUUGGUGAGGUAACGGCUCACCAAGGCUUCGACGGGUAGCUGGUCUGAGAGGACGAUCAGCCACACUGGCACUGCGACACGGGCCAGACUCCUACGGGAGGCAGCAGUAAGGAAUAUUGCGCAAUGGGCGAAAGCCUGACGCAGCGACGCCGCGUGGGGGAGUGAAGGG
rnacentral:rRNA from 1 species